rnacentral:rRNA from 1 species
CAGUCGAGCGAACAGARAAGGAGCUUGCUCCUUUGACGUUAGCGGCGGACGGGUGAGUAACACGUGGGCAACCUACCUUAUAGUUUGGGAUAACUCCGGGAAACCGGGGCUAAUACCGAAUAAUCUAUUUCACUUCAUGGUGAAAUACUGAAAGACGGCWUCUCGCUGUCGCUAUAAAAUGGGCCCGCGGCGCAUUACCUAGUUGGUGAGGUAACGGCUCACCAAGGCGACAAUGCGUACCCAACCUGAAAGGGUGAUCGGCCACMCUGGGACUGAAACACGGCCCAAACUCCUACGGGAGGCASCAKUAGGGAAUCUUCCACAAKGGGCAAAAGCCUGAUGGACCAACGCCSCGUGAGUGAAAAAGGUUUUCGGAUCGUAAAACUCUGUUGUAAGGAAAAAACAAGUACAGUAUUAACUGGCUGUACCUUGACGGUACCUUAUUAAAAAGCCACGGCUAACUACUUGCCACCASCCGCGGUAAUACGUAGGUGGCAAGCGUUGUCCGGAAUUAUUGGGCGUAAAGCGCGCGCAGGCGGUCCUUUAAGUCUGAUGUGAAAGCCCACGGCUCAACCGUGGAGGGUCAUUGAAAACUGGGGGGACUUGAGUGCAGAAGAGGAAAG